rnacentral:rRNA from 1 species
AUUGAACGCUGGCGGCAGGCCUAACACAUGCAAGUCGAGCGGAUGACGGGAGCUUGCACCUUGAUUCAGCGGCGGACGGGUGAGUAAUGCCUAGGAAGCUGCCUGGUAGUGGGGGACAACGUUUCGAAAGGAACGCUAAUACCGCAUACGUCCUACGGGAGAAAGCAGGGGACCUUCGGGCCUUGCCCUAACAGUUGAGCCGAGGUCGGAUUAGCUAGUUGGUGAGGUAAUGGCUCACCAAGGCGACGAUCCGUAACUGGUCUGAGAGGAUGAUCAGGCACACUGGAACUGAGACACGGUCCAGACUCCUACGGGAGGCAGCAGUGGGGAAUAUUGGACAAUGGGCGAAAGCCUGAUCCAGCCAUGCCGCGUGUGUGAAGAAGGUCUUCGGAUUGUAAAGCACUUUAAGUUGGGAGGAAGGGUUGUAGAUUAAUACUCUGCAAUUUUGACGUUACCGACAGAAUAAGCACCGGCUAACUCUGUGCCAGCCGCCGCGGUAAGAC